UACUGAGUGCGGGCCCUCUGGGUCCAACCUCCCACCCGUGUAUACCGUACCUUGUUGCUUCGGCGGGCCCGCCAGCCUGGCCGCCGGGGGGCACCCGCCCCCGGGCCCGCGCCCGCCGAAGACACCCCGAACGCUGUCUGAAGAUUGCAGUCUGAGCGAUAAGCACAAAUUAGUUAAAACUUUCAACAACGGAUCUCUUGGUUCCGGCAUCGAUGAAGAACGCAGCGAAAUGCGAUAAGUAAUGUGAAUUGCAGAAUUCAGUGAAUCAUCGAGUCUUUGAACGCACAUUGCGCCCCCUGGUAUUCCGGGGGGCAUGCCUGUCCGAGCGUCAUUGCUGCCCUCAAGCCCGGCUUGGUCUUGGGCGCCGUCCCCCCGGGGACGUGCCCGAAAGGCAGCGGCGGCACCGCGUCCGGUCCUCGAGCGUAUGGGGCUCUGUCACCCGCUCCGCAGGCCCGGCCGGCGCCAGCCGACCCCCCCAAUCUUUCUUUAGGUUGACCUCGGAUCAGGUAGGGAUACCCGCUGAACUUAAGCAUAUCAAUAAGCGGAGGAAAAGAAACCAACAGGGAUUGCCCUAGUAACGGCGAGUGAAGCGGCAAGAGCUCAAAUUUGAAAGCUGGCUCCUUCGGGGCCCGCAUUGUAAUUUGCAGAGGAUGCUUCGGGAGUGGCCCCCGUCUAAGUGCCCUGGAACGGGCCGUCAUAGAGGGUGAGAAUCCCGUAUGGGAUGGGGUGUCCACGCCCGUGUGAAGCUCCUUCGACGAGUCGAGUUGUUUGGGAAUGCAGCUCUAAAUGGGUGGUAAAUUUCAUCUAAAGCUAAAUAUUGGCCGGAGACCGAUAGCGCACAAGUAGAGUGAUCGAAAGAUGAAAAGCACUUUGAAAAGAGAGUUAAAAAGCACGUGAAAUUGUUGAAAGGGAAGCGUUUGCGACCAGACUCGCCCUCGGGGUUCAGCCGGCUUUCGGGCCGGUGUACUUCCCCGGGGGCGGGCCAACGUCGGUUUGGGCGGCCGGUCAAAGGCCCCUGGAAUGUACCGCCUCUCGGGGCGGCUUAUAGCCAGGGGUGUCAUGCGGCCUGCCCGGACCGAGAACGC
rnacentral:rRNA from 1 species